CCGAAGGAGCCGAAAGGGCGCUCGGUCCGCCGGUGCAAUCCCCGCCGAGAGCCGCUCGCCCAAGCGCUGGGCAGGCGAGCGCGCCUCGCUCAGACCGUCACCUCCCCCGAGAGCCGGGGGGGCCCGAGCGCCACCGAAGGGGACUCCACCUGGCCGGCGGCGGGGGCUUCGUGCAUGGCGGAGAAAGGCGCGCCCCCCAACCCCUGGAGCCGGGCUUCGGGAGGCAGGGAAGCGCCCCGCGGGCACGAGCGCCAGCCACCCGGGUCCCGAUCGCCUGCCCCGCCGCCGCCGCCGCCGCCGCCUUGAAGUUCAAUGCGUUUCUACUUGUUCUGACUUCCUCAGAUACAGAUUACAAAUCAGCAACACCUCAGUCUGAAACUCAUUGGGAAAGAUGGAAGACCGUGUGCCAAGCCACCAUUGAUACAAGAUGAAAAGUAACAAGAUGACAAUGGAUAUGACAGCAAUGAAGAAUUCUAAAGGACUGAUAAAUACAGUACAGUAAUAUCCUAUGUGAUUACAGCAGUACAAAUGGUUUUGUAUUAAAUCAUGGAGACUAAUGAAAGUGACAUCUUUGAAAGACCAUGGGAAAAGAAAAGAAAAAAGAAAAAAUACGUAUGUAUAGAAAAAUUGACAGCUGUCAUUUUUUAAAAUCUCUAACACCAAAAUGUUUCCAAAUAAUUGUAAUAGAGCUGCCAUUUCCCUCUAUAUAUCAGCUCUAAUCUGUCUUCGACUGAUAGUUUUUGUGUUGUGUGUUACCUAAAUUUAAUCUCCAGUUAGCAUGAGCAUUGCCAUGUUUCCAGGUGCUUCUGCUCCCAGCCAGAACAGGAGCCCUGCACUUUUGAUAAAAGGCAAUAGGGAAUUCACAAAAUAACUAGCAGGUCUUUGUCUAUAGAGAUGACAAAAGUUAUUCUGACAUCCCCAGAGACAAAACCCAAUACAAGCACACUUCACGUAGAUUAUUGAAGUUUGUUGUCUCCAUCUUGAAACUUUAAUUACAGAUCCUGCAAUCCCAACAUCUAGCCAUUAUUAGAUUCUACUCUCCCUCCAGCCGUAAACCAUACAAUGCUUAGCCUGAUAAAGAGUCUUCCAAGAUUCAAAAACUCUCCUUUUAAUGAUAUUUCAUGGUCCAAUAAAGGUAUUACUCCACCCUAUUUUUAGGUUUGU
rnacentral:lncRNA from 1 species